AAACUAACUAGGAUUCCCUUAGUAACGGCGAGUGAACCGGGAUGAGCUCAAAUUUAAAAUCUGGCGUCUUUCAGGCGUCCGAGUUGUAAUCUAUAGAGGCGUUUUCCGCGCCGGACCGCGUCCAAGUCUCUUGGAAUAGAGUAUCAAAGAGGGUGACAAUCCCGUACUUGACGCGACAACCGGUGCUCUGUGAUACGUUCUCAAUGAGUCGAGUUGUUUGGGAAUGCAGCUCUAAAUGGGUGGUAAAUUCCAUCUAAGGCUAAAUAUUGGCGAGAGACCGAUAGCGAACAAGUACCGUGAGGGAAAGAUGAAAAGCACUUUGGAAAGAGAGUUAAACAGCACGUGAAAUUGUUAAAAGGGAAACGAUUGAAGUCAGUCGUGUGAAAGGUAUUCAGCCGUCUCUGGCGGUGUAUUUGCCUUUCACGGGUCAACAUCAGUUUGAUCCGGUAGAAAAAGGCGGGAGGAAGGUGGCACCCUCGGGUGUGUUAUAGCCUCCUGUCAUAUGUGCCGGACCAGACUGAGGAACGCAGCUUGCCGCAAGGCCGGGGUUCGCCCACGUACAAGCUUAGGAUGUUGACA
rnacentral:rRNA from 1 species